CCGUAGUAGUAAGACUUGCAUACGUUGUGUGUUUCAGCAUUUGCUUCUUCCCGGAUAGGAUCGCGAAGUGGUGUUGUGAGAUACGACAAGUCCUCCGGAUGUUCCUCGGCAAUCUUUAACAGGCAAGCAUUUCCUAAACUCCUGUCUCUGCAGGAGUCGCUCAACUAUUUUAUUUUGCCUUCUCUCUUAUGCUAGCCUUGAGUUGCGUUCUUGUCACGUGUCCUAUCCACUUGUUACCUCAAGCAGCCCAUAUUGCCUCCACCAACCUCCUACAACUAUUGCUUGGUUAUCGUGUCUGCCUUGCGAGUCGUAGUGCAUGCUAGUGCUGUUUUAUCUCGUUACCGUUAUUGUUAUCUUAUCGGGUUAUCUGUUGGGGAAUCAUGACACAUGGUUUAUGAAUAUAUCUGUUAAUAGUUGCUUAGCGGAGGCAUCGGUGGGUCAGCUGAUCGUUUUGUGACGGCUCACUUGUGCUUCCUAAAUAUCUUAGGACCCCGAGUUCUUGUUAUCUGAUCCGAGACAGAGCGCUCUAACCACACGUGGGUAUGCUUGCCAGGUCUCCCCUCGACCAUUGCCGGAAUCUACAGCUUUGUCCAGUGGCCACAAUUAGUUUUGAACGUUUUGUUUCUUCCGGGCGUGCAAGCAUGUUUCUUUGUGGUCAGAUGAUAUGAUGUUACUUUUGGGGCCUUGUUCCCCGUUGUCUCUUGCACGUCCGUAGGUGCGGCACGUAUUGUUAAGAGGUCAUCCUCUAGUGGGCUCUGAUCCUCUUAGCCGUUCUCGCAACAGCUAAGUCCGCUUCGGAGCACGGCCGGAUUUCGAUACGGGUUAACUUAGUUAGGUGGCUUCCUAAACAUUGUUGUCGUGAAGGAGAGUGCGAGUCGUGAUAUCCACCUGUCGUAAGUGGAUCGAGCGUGCGUGUGGGCACAUUUGGGCACCCCUGCAGGGUUACAAUCUUAUCGAUAAGCCGUGUCCGCGGUUAUGGACGACUUGGAGCUGUAUGACUCGACCAUAGACAACUUACACCUGUUGUUUCAAUACUAAUAACUUGCAUAGUAAGAUAGAACAACUUGAAUAAUAACUGGAUAAAACUUGUCAACAGUGUGAGUGCCUUUGCCAGUACUUCUUUGCGAAGGGGGAACACAUCGGUUGUGUUAUGUUUGCAGAGUAUAGAACUGCUAGCUUAUGCGUUCUCUCAUCUUCUCUGAUUAGACGACUGUUGUAGAGUGUCUCUAUAGGUUUUUAAUGCUUGCGCGCUGCCGCUUAACCCCACCAUAUUGCCUAUGACGUUCCUCUUGCGUCCUCUAAGUCCCCUGCGUGCCUCAAGUACAAAGGACGACUGGUUGACGAAUGCUUAUACGUCUUAAGUCUUGUUCAGUACGAACCCGUACUUAUUGCUGCUUCUUUGGGACAUAACCGGGCAGGUAUGAAGUUAUGUUCGAUGAAGACGACGUUAGCAAGGUUACCCUUCCGGCUUGGCCUGGGCAGGGUUAUGGACGCCAUCGUUUAUCUUCAGGACUCUUAGUCCAGUUUGUAUCUUGUCCGUACUCGGAUGUAUUAGAUCUUCUGUAUGAUUUGGAUCUUUGUAUUGUAUUUUUGUAUCUUGACUCGUUGGAGUCGUUGUUGUAAUAUAUGUUUCUUGUGGGCUCUAUUGUAAUCAUGUUGUAAUGGUACCGCUCGUGUUAA